UACGUAGGGUGCAAGCGUUGCCCGGAUUUAUUGGGCGUAAAGGGCGCGUAGGCGGCUCUGCACGUUCGUUGUGAAAUCGCCCGGCUCAACUGGGCGGGGUCAGCUGAUACGGGCAGGCUGGAGUUCGGUAGGGGAGACUGGAAUUCCUGGUGUAGCGGUGAAAUGCGCAGAUAUCAGGAGGAACACCGGUGGCGAAGGCGGGUCUCUGGGCCGAUACUGACGCUGAGGAGCGAAAGCGUGGGGAGCGAACAGG
rnacentral:rRNA from 1 species